rnacentral:rRNA from 1 species
AAUCAACGCUGGCGGCGUGCCUAACACAUGCAAGUCGAACGCGACUUGGGCUUCGGCUCAAGUUGAGUGGCGAACGGGUGAGUAACACGUGGGUGACCUACCUUCGAGUGGGGGAUAACGUCCCGAAAGGGACGCUAAUACCGCAUAACAUCCUGCCUUUGAAGAGGUGGAGAUCAAAGCUGGGGAUCGCAAGACCUGGCGCUUGAUGAGGGGCCCGCGCCUGAUUAGCUAGUUGGUGGGGUAAUGGCUCACCAAGGCAACGAUCAGUAUCCGGCCUGAGAGGGCGGACGGACACACUGGGACUGAGACACGGCCCAGACUCCUACGGGAGGCAGCAGUGGGGAAUUGUUCGCAAUGGGGCGCAAGCCUGACGACGCAACGCCGCGUGGAGGAUGAAGGUCUUCGGAUUGUAAACUCCUGUUGCUCGGGACGAAAAGCCUCGACCUAACACGUCGAGGUCUGACGGUACCGAGUGAGGAAGCCCCGGCUAACUCUGUGCC